rnacentral:rRNA from 1 species
GGAUUAGAUACCCUGGUAGUCCACGCCGUAAACGAUGUCUACUAGCCGUUGGGACCCUUGAGGUCUUAGUGGCGCAGCUAACGCACUAAGUAGACCGCCUGGGGAGUACGGUCGCAAGAUUAAAACUCAAAUGAAUUGACGGGGGCCCGCACAAGCGGUGGAGCAUGUGGUUUAAUUCGAUGCAACGCGAAGAACCUUACCUACACUUGACAUCCAGAGAACUUGCUAGAGAUAGCUUGGUGCCUUCGGGAGCUCUGAGACAGGUGCUGCAUGGCUGUCGUCAGCUCGUGCUG